AACGAGUUCUUAACCUGCUAAAUAGUCCGGCCGGCUUUUGCUGGUCGCAGACUUCUUAGAGGGACUGUCAGCGUCUAGCUGACGGAAGUUUGAGGCAAUAACAGGUCUGUGAUGCCCUUAGAUGUUCUGGGCCGCACGCGCGCUACACUGACAGAGCCAGCGAGUUCUCACCUUGGCCGGAAGGUCUGGGUAAUCUUGUGAAACU
rnacentral:rRNA from 1 species